AGGAGGUUUGAUCCUGGGCUCAGGAUGAACGCUAGCGGCAGGCCUAAUACAUGCAAGUCGAACGGCAAGUUGAAUAGCAAUAUUUGACCUAGAGUGACGUACGGGUGCGUAACACGUAUGCAACCUACCCUUUACAGGCGGAUAGCUCGGUGAAAACCGAAUUAACCCGCCGUAGUAUAAUUGAGUGGCAUCAUUUGAUUAUUAAAACUCCGGUGGUAAAGGAUGGGCAUGCGUCUGAUUAGUUAGUUGGUAGUGUAAUGGACUACCAAGACGAUGAUCAGUAGGGGAACUGAGAGGUUGAUCCCCCACACUGGCACUGAGAUACGGGCCAGACUCCUACGGGAGGCAGCAGUAGGGAAUAUUGGUCAAUGGAUGCAAGUCUGAACCAGCCAUGCCGCGUGCAGGAAGAAGGCCUUCUGGGUUGUAAACUGCUUUUGUCAGGGGGAUAGAAUAUCCUUUGCGAGGGUAAUUGAAGGUACCUGGCGAAUAAGCCACGGUAACUACGUGCCAGCAGCCGCGGUAAUACGUAGGUGGCAAGCGUUGUCCGGAUUUAUUGGGUUUAAAGGGUGCGUAGGCGGCCUGUAAGUCAGUGGUGAAAUAUUUCAGCUCAACUGGAAUUGUGCCAUUGAUACUGCGGGGCUUGAGUACAGAUGAGGUAGGNCGGAAUUGACGGUGUAGCGGUGAAAUGCUUAGAUAUCGUCAGAACACCUAUAGCGAAGGCAGCUUACUAGGCUGUAACUGACGCUGAGGCACGAAAGUGUGGGGAUCAAACCAGGAUUAGAUACCCU
rnacentral:rRNA from 1 species